GUAAUAGCAAAUAAUCGAAUGAGAUCUUGGAGGACUGAAGUGGAGAAGGGUUUCGUGUGAACAGUGGUUGAUCACGAGUUAGUCGGUCCUAAGUUCAAGGCGAAAGCCGAAAAAUGUUUAAGUAUAUAUAUAUUAAUUUUAAUAAUAAUACUUAAUAUUUAAAUUGAACGAAAGGGAAUACGGUUCCAAUUCCGUAACCUGUUGAGUAUACGUUUGUUAAUAAAAAUGGGCAAUAUAUGCUCAUCCUGGUAACAGAAACUACCAUAAAGAAGCUGUCGAGAGAUAUCGAAAGAGUUUUCUUUUCUGUUUUAUAAUCGUAUUACCAUGGAAGUCUUUCGAAGAGAGAUAUGGUAAAUGGAUUAGAAGAGCAUGGCAUUUACUGCUGUGUCGAUAUUUUCUCCUCAGACCUUGAAAAUUUAUGGUAGGGCUACGCAAAUUUCUUAACAGGCCGUACCGAUAUCCGCAGCCGGUCUCCAAGGUGAAGAGU
rnacentral:rRNA from 1 species